rnacentral:rRNA from 1 species
AUUGAACGCUGGCGGCAUGCUUUACACAUGCAAGUCGAGCGGCAGCGCGGGGGCAACCCUGGCGGCGAGCGGCGAACGGGUGAGUAAUGCAUCGGAACGUAUCCUCGAGUGGGGGAUAACCCAGCGAAAGUUGGGCUAAUACCGCAUGAGCUCUGAGGAGGAAAGCGGGGGACCUGCGAGGGCCUCGCGCUGGAGGAGCGGCCGAUGUCCGAUUAGCUAGUUGGUGGGGUAAAGGCUUACCAAGGCGACGAUCGGUAGCUGGUCUGAGAGGAUGAUCAGCCACACUGGGACUGAGACACGGCCCAGACCCCUACGGGAGGCAGCAGUGGGGAAUUUUGGACAAUGGGGGCAACCCUGAUCCAGCCAUGCCGCGUGAGUGAAGAAGGCCUUCGGGUUGUAAAGCUCUUUCGGACGGAACGAAAUGGGCGGGACUAAUACUCCUGUCUGAUGACGGUACCGUAAGAAGAAGCACCGGCUAACUACGUG